AUGAAGCCAGCAAUAAGGCAUUUCCCUCCCCACCCGUCCAGCUGCCAGAGCGUGGCUGAGACUCGAGAGUUUAGAAUAAUGAAUUUCAUCCCCAUUGUGCUGGUGACAGACAGAGCUGGAGAUCUCAGGAAAGCACAUGUGAGGCUGAGAGUGGAGACUCUGCCAAGGCUCGGUUUUAAUGAUCUCGCAGAUGGAGCCGGCACAUGUGAGCCCGUGGGUGCAGCUGUCUGCUUUCUCCAGCCUGAGGGGCGUGUGACUGCAACCAUAGCACCGUGUCGGCAGCACUUGUCUCUCCAGCACAGCGUCUCUCCUGCAGCACCACACUCCUAACCCACCAUGUCACUUAAAGGAAGGAGGGUAUGAGACCUGCUGCGAGACGAGAAAUGAGAAACACCCCAGAGGAUAGGCAAUUGGCAAAGCUGACAGUUUUCUCGCUGUUUCACCGGCAUUGGGGUUGGAGUCCCUUGCACGUGCCCUACCCCUGCUGAAGUGGGUGUCCCUAAGCAGUCCAUGACUCAGGUGGGAGCAUCAGGACGGAGCCUUGCUUUUCCCCACUACCCCUGCCUGGCUAAAUACACACUCCAUCAAAUAAACCACGAAGCAGCAGAGGGAGGGCUGGCAAUUUGCUUUUGAAAAUUCACACGUCCACGAGGGUUUUAACUACUUUGGCUCUAUGUGCAAUUGCUCUUUCCAUCAAUUGCUUAUUGUUUGGAACUCAACCAGAGUUCAGAACUCAGGUGCAUUCCUUCACUGACCCAGCUUCAGUAUUAAUAGUUGAGAGGAAAAGAAAGCAGACAUUUAAACAAAUUUAGGGCUGGGGUUCAUGAAGAAUACACUAUUCAAAGUUGUGUUAAGUUUCCUAUUUCUGUUAUGAUGAAUGACGACAAACUGAGUGGCUGAAAACAACAUAAAUGUAUUGUCUUACAGUUCUGGUGUCAGCAGGGCUGUGCUCCUUCUGGGGGCUCCAGGGGAGAAUUCAUUACCUUGCUUUUUGCUGUCGGCAGGAUUGCCUUCUUCUGAGGCUUCUUUCCUUGGCUUGUAGGUGGCUGUCUUCUCGCUGUGCCUGUCAUAGUUGCCCCUCUGUGUGUGUGUCUGUGUCCAGAUUUCCUCUUCUUGUGUGGACCACCAGUCGUAUUGAAUUUGGGCCCACACAUAUGCACUCAUUUUAACUUAAUUACCUCUGUAAAACCCUAUCCCUUAAUACAGUCACAUUCUAGGGUAGUGGGGGUUAGGGCUCCAACAUAAGAAUUUGGGGGGCACAAUUUGACCCCUCACACUAGUUCUGUCCUCUCCUCUGAGAACCUGGUGCCUUUUGUACAUACCUUCAAGCAGCCAACAGAGACCAUCUAGGCCCUGAACACCACAUCCAUAUUCCUAGGAGAGGACAAGGAGACCAGCCUCAUGCUAGACAAUGCUGGCCAAAAAGUUAAGGGUCCAAUAGUGUGCCAGUCAGGGGAGUCCAAAUGCUGUGACAGACAACCCCCAAAUCUCAGAGCUGAACACAAUCACAGCCCAGUAUGUGGUGGCAGGGGUGCUGCUUCACGCAGCCAUUCAGGGAUCCAGGCCCUCAGAGCAACUGUCUGUAGUAAACUGGGAAUUUGGACAGGCUUUGUCUGAAAGCACGGCUGUGCUCAGCUUGGAUUUCACAAGAUAAGGUCUUGAGAACGGAUGUUUGAUCUUGACUCUGAGGGGCACAGUCCCCAUUGCUACUUUCAGUUAUUUCACAAAGGGCUCAUUUCCUCUUCCAGCUAAUGAGCUCCCAAGGGGGCACAACUAAAUGACUCACCAAAUAUCCCUUCUUGAGGGUGACCAGCUAUUCUGGUUUUCCUGAGACUGAGGAGGACUCCAAGAGGCAGAAUUUUAAGUUUUAAAAUUGGGACAGUCCCAGGCAAGCCAGGAUGAGUUGGUCAAGCCACUGUUUGUUGAAAUACAUAUUUUCAAUAACUGAGAUAACUCUGAUUCACCACCCUGGAAUUAAGGGGAAGCAGAAGGAGCUCUAGGCACAACCACACCUGCUAUUCUGAUGACAAAUGCCUGCUUUCCAAAUCUCACUGGUCAAACUCUUUUGUUUAGAAGAGUCUGAGACUCACUGGGCCAGGCACCUGCCUAGUGCUUUUUAAAAAAUGCGAAUAGGUCUCCUCAUUGAGCAAUUUCAACCCAGAAGACAACCAUCUAACUUCUAUUGAAAAAUCAAGAGAGCUGACAGUGCUGGGCUGUAUUUCCAUGUGGCAACAGUUAUCUGGAGCUGGGCAGAAGUUUCCACUUUAGAUGGGGCCUGAGCUUCCCCGCUGCACCGCUUACCACCAUUUGCUGUUUUCUCUCAUGUCUAGCCCACUGACCGUGACGUCACCAACCUGACCGCUGAAGCCAUUGAGUUUGCAAUGGAUGGAGUUUUCUUAACUGUGACCCAAUCAACCUUGGAAGGAGGAAUCCCAGUCUUGAUUGUCUCUCUAGAAACACUAACUCAUAAACUUCAGCUCCAUCUCAGUUCCUAGGAUCUAUUUUGCUUUCAAGGGGAGAAAGAGGUCAGGAAAGAGGCCGCUAGCUGGGCAGAAGUUUAGAAACCAUUUCCCGCUAGCGCUGUGGGGUCAACCAAGACCACGGUCUCCUUCCGCCAGCAUCGUGAGGUGCAGCCAGCCCUGGGAAGCCAGGGCAUUUCUGGAAGCUCAAACGGGAGCCGUUCACGUGUCAUUUUUCUUAGCAACAAGGGUUCCGCUUCAUUUCGAGCUUGUCUUGAGAGGCAGAAGUUUCUAUUUAUCAGCCAACCAAGGCUGAAGGGUUGAUGCUUUGCAGCCGGGGACUGGGGUUUGGAUUUUGUUCUAGGCCCCACAGUAUGCACGCCUUUCACCCCAAAUCAAAAGCAAGAGGGAAAAAGGGAAGAUUGUGGUUAAAAAAAAACAAACUGGAGAAACACUGAGAAAAUAUUGUCCUAGUUUAUUUCUAAAGGAUGUGCCUUUCUGGUAGUGCUCAAAAAGAGGCUGUAAGUUUCCCUGACUCCAGUUAACCCUCAGGGGACACUGACAGUCCAGGGAGGGCCCCAAGCACAGCUUUGACAUAGUACUAUUUCACAUAGGGAAGGGCAGAGUGUGUAGCAACAGGGGCUCUCAGCCAGUAGGGACAAAAGUGGUUUUGGGGUUGGGGCGUGGUGGCUCACGCCUGUAAUCCCAGCACUUUGGGAGGCCAAGGCAGGCAGAUCACAUGAGGUCAGAAGUUCAAGAUCAGCCUGGCCAACAUGGUGAAACCUUGUAUGUACUAAAAAUAAAAAAAUUAGCUGGGUGUGGUGGUGCACGCCUGUAAUCCCAGCUACUCAGGAGGCAGAGGCAGGAGAACUGCUUGAACCAGGGAGGCGGAGGUUGGAGUGAGCUAAGAUGGUGCCAUUGCACUCCAGCCUGGACAACAGAGCGAGACUCCAUCUCAAAAAAUAAAUAAAUAAAUAAAUAAAUAAAAAUAAAGUGGUAUUGGGAAAUGUUUACUGACUGAACAGAUGUUUGCUCAGCAUCUUCCAGGUGCUGGCACCAUGCAAGGCCCAGGGUUACAGUGGCAUUUGGGGCAGGUGCUGUCCCAACAGACUCUGAGGUGAGGAUUAGGACAUGUCCCAGGAGAUGCCACUCAGGGAGGGGAACCAGAACAGGGAUGGAGAGGAAGCCAAGCAGGGGGUGACUUCAGUGACUCCCAUUCUCCUGCCUGAUCCUGGGGAGAGCCCUGGCAUAUAAAUUACCCCCCUCCAGAGUUGGCCUAAUCAGCGUGGGUGCUGCUGGUCUCACCUCACAAGUCAGUCACUGACCGUGGGCAUGGUGGGGCAGCAUGCAGGUUGCCCACAGGGUACUCCUCUGAAGUUUGGGUCUCCUUGGCAAAGCUCGGGAUGUGAGGGGUGGGCACACAGAGGUGAGAAAGAGAUCUGGAGGUGACUGCGUGGGGGUACCCGUGCAUCCCCAGCAAGUACAAGUGAAAACAGCCAUGGCCCCUGUCCUAGUCACUUCUGUUGCAAUAACAGAUGGGGCAGCUGAAACAACAGACACAUAUUCCCCACAGUGCAGGAGGCUGGGAAGUCUGAGAUAAGGGAGGUGGCAGAUUUUAUGGCUGAUGAGGGCCCACGUCCUCCUUCCAGUUGGCUGUCUUCUCCCAUGACAGAAAAGAGUGAGAGAGAGAGAACACUCCAGGGUCUCUUUAUAAGGGCACUAAUCCCACUGAUGAGGCCUAAUCACCUCCCCAAAGCCCACCUCCUAAUAGCAUCACACUGGGGGUUAAGAUCCCAACAUAAUGAAUUUUAGGGGGACACACACAUUCAGUCUAUAUAUAGCAUUCCACCCUGGAUCCCCCAAAUUCAUGUCCUUCUCACAUGCAAAAUACAUUUACCACAUCUCAGUAGCCCCAAGAGUCCCAAUAUCAACUCAAGUCUAAAGUCCAAAGUCUUCCCUAAAUAGCAUCUAAACCACAUAUGUGUGAGACUCAAGGUAUGACUCAUGGCGAGACAAAAUUCCUCACCAGAUGUGAGCCUGUGAAGCCAAACAAGUUAUGUACUU
ensembl:lncRNA